GUCUUCAAGAAACUUGAAGUCUCUCUUUUCUUUCCAAGCUCCUUAGAUCACAUGACCUGGAUGACUGAACCUACAGACAUAUUGACCUGGUUUCUAGGUUACAUGACAGACUGACUGAAGAUGAUGAUGGAGGAAGAGGAGGACAGAGCAGAGUCUGCAGGGUCCAGCUGUCCGUCUGUGAGGAGUGACCGGUCCAAAGAUGAACCUCCAGACUUGAGUGGUAAACCUGGAACAACGAGAGGUCAGAGGUCACAGUCUGCAGGGUCCAGCUGUCCGUCUGUGAGGAGUGACCGGUCCAAAGGUGACCCUCCACUCUUCAGUGGUGAACCUGGACCAACGAGGUCAGAGAGCUGUGAUGACUCCUUUACAUGUUUGUGCUUCCUGGAUAAAUCUGACCUGAAACAUCCUCAGAUUGUUACAAAGAUUCAUUAAAAAGAAAACAAUGAAAGAGAAAAGAUCCAAAUGUUAGACUUGGUCAUUUGCUGUUUGAGGACAGUGAUGCUCAUAUCUGUGGGGAAAGUGUGACCUGAGUGGGUUCAUGUUUGUCUUUAAAGAGCUGCUCUGAUUCUCUUUGUGUCUGAUCUGUUAAACAGUCUGAGAGGUCACACAGAGACCCAGCAGCUAAAGCCUGGAUCAUACUGGCUGCUGUUACUCCAUCAGGACAACACUGAACCACAGUGGUGUGGAUGUAGUGGAUAAAUCCCACCAUACUGAUGCUCAGAGUUAAUCACAGGGAACAAAACCAGAUGUUACCUUCAGAUUGUGACCUUUGGAGUGGACGAUGCAGAUUUCAAUAGAGAAUAAAUGUUGUUGUUUUUCAGCUGUGAAAAAAGAAUCUAAUUUUCUGAACU